rnacentral:rRNA from 1 species
UACGUAGGUGGCAAGCGUCGUCCGGGGUUAUUGGGCGUAAAGCGCGCGCAGGCGGUGCGGUAAGUCUCUGGUGAAAGCGCUCGGCUUAACUGGGCGAGGGCCGGGGAGACUGCCACGCUGGAGGGGAGCAGAGGCGAGUGGAAUUCCGGGUGUAGUGGUGAAAUGCGUAGAGAUCCGGAGGAACACCAGUGGCGAAGGCGGCUCGCUGGGCUCUACCUGACGCUGAGGCGCGAAAGCGUGGGGAGCGAACCGG